rnacentral:rRNA from 1 species
CUANNNGGWGGCWGCAGUAGGGAAUCUUCCGCAAUGGACGAAAGUCUGACGGAGCAACGCCGCGUGAGUGAUGAAGGUUUUCGGAUCGUAAAGCUCUGUUGUUAGGGAAGAACAAGUACCGUUCGAAUAGGGCGGUACCUUGACGGUACCUAACCAGAAAGCCACGGCUAACUACGUGCCAGCAGCCGCGGUAAUACGUAGGUGGCAAGCGUUGUCCGGAAUUAUUGGGCGUAAAGGGCUCGCAGGCGGUUUCUUAAGUCUGAUGUGAAAGCCCCCGGCUCAACCGGGGAGGGUCAUUGGAAACUGGGGAACUUGAGUGCAGAAGAGGAGAGUGGAAUUCCACGUGUAGCGGUGAAAUGCGUAGAGAUGUGGAGGAACACCAGUGGCGAAGGCGACUCUCUGGUCUGUAACUGACGCUGAGGAGCGAAAGCGUGGGGAGCGAACAGGAUUAGAUACCGNNGUGAGUCA